GGUGCAUCGUGGUUUGUCCUCCUCUGUGGGGAAAGCAGCCCUGGUCUUCCAGCACCCUGCAGCUGGACCCCGACCUCCGAGAUUCUGACAGGUGCUCCUGAGUCGUGGGCCUCCAGCAGAAGUGUGAGCGGGAAGCUAACAUGGUGAAGUGCUAGACUGGGUCUCCAGAGGGUGAUGGUCAGUUCCAAGCUAUUCCAUAGACUGCUCUGAUCUCAGGCAAGUCUCAGCUCCCGACUGUGACCACUCCGUAUCUUCCCCCCAAAGUAAAUUUCAGCUCUCUGCCUUUUCUCGUUUCUUUAGAUAUAAACCUUUAGAAACAGCACUUUACAGCAUCAGAUGCAUAGAGGUUUGCAGGCACUAAUGGAAGGUAAAUAAUAACAUAGGCUGGCUUCAUGAACAGCCUUUGUGCUAGCGGACUCUGCCACAUGGGAGAUCAGUGAUCACUCUGCAAUAACAUAGCCUGUGUUGAUGUAGUAUCACAAGUCUACUAGGUUAUUUUGAAGUGAAUUCUUAAAUGACAUAUUUUCAAUGUCUUCGCAGCCACAAAAAAAGUACAUACAUGUUUUUUAAAGACAGCACGCAUACAUGUUUUAACCACGCCUACCAACAAGCAUGGAGUACAGGUCUGCAUUGCUGUUGUAUGUUUUCCAGAGAACUCGACAUCGCAGAGGUGGAAAACUUUUAUAUGCAGGUUGAAGCAGCAUAAACCCACUGGUCUCAGAAUGUUAUCCCACUCAGCUUUGACCUAUUUUGACCUUAAAUGACCUACUUUAUAUAUGGUCCUCUUUCUUCCACCUCCACAAAAGAGGAGGUAAAAGUCAAGCCUUUCUCCUUCAACAGAGAUAAGGAGGAAUUAAUCAAAAGUUCUGGUCUUUGGGCUACCCCUCCUUUAAAGCUGAAUUCAGACUCCAUGUUUUCCUAUGCCCGUAUUUUUUGGCUCACUGGAGUACAUCAAAUAAUGCCACCUGUGACAGCUGCUUUGUGGAUUAUGAAUUACUGACUAGGAACUGGGUUUGAGUCAUUUAGUCCAGCUGCAGAAGCCCUGCAGUAAACCCUGAGGUGAUAGCAGUUGUGGAAAGUACCAGGAAAACCUGGUGACUUAGAUUAGAUCUGGAUUGUUAGCUAGAGUUGAAAAUGUUUCCCUUAUGCCAUGGCUCUCAUGAAAAUGCUGUUUCUGUCCAGGCAUCUGUGUGUUGCUGAACUGCCUGUGGAAGGGGAGGAAGGUGCUGUAACUGUUGAGCAAUUUCUGUUAAAUUGAAAAGGGAAGUGUUGCGCACAUCAUUGGCCACGAGAUUAUCAGCUUUUAUGGUCACAAGUAAUUGAAUGUCCAACCCAGGAUGCUAGGGGCACAUUGCUACAAUAUACAGUUUAUUGAGCAAACCAAAAGCAAGCAAGCAGAAUUUAGCAAUAACUUAAGAGCCUAAUCAUUUAACUACUUUCUUUCUUCCACUGCAGCGAUGCUAACGCAGAUCAUAUCAGCUUGGUUGUUCAAUAGCAAAUAAUACCACUUCUGCCUCCAAGCUGGAGAAACCAGGUAUUUGGAAGCAGAGAACAGUAUUAAGCAAAUUAUGAACUGUUAUCUCAAAAAUGAAUCUUUCAGUUAAACCAGCCAAAGUCAGCGCAAAGAUGAGGUUAGAUAAUCUCUUUGCAUGAUACACAGUACUGCAAUAUGUUGACAACCAGCACAGAGGAAACUACCAAAAAGGCAAUCUCUGCAGACUACUUAACAUGCCCCCCCCUGCAGUGACAUCUCUGAAAGAGCUCAAGUGAAACUCACCUCUGCUUUUAGCUGUAGCUGUGCUAAAGAACUGGAGGAAAUCUCCUUCAGAGCCAGAGUCCAGUCUUCCCCUCUUGCAGGCAACUAUCCCAUGGCAUCUCUUUUGGAAACAAUCAAGCUUUACCCUAAAAGCUGUUUCCAGUUCUUGUCGUCACUGAUGCUACUCCUUCAGAAUCUUACUUGAAUGAGGGUUUGAAAUUUUUCUUAAUAUCUGGACUAAAGUUACUAACAGUUUUUACCUAAUUGUCUUUCAGCCAACAUCACCCUUUCACUUAGUUUUCCUCCCUAUUCUUUGCCCAACUUCAUUUCCUUUACAAACAAGCCAGAUUCAGUAAGAUCUUAAUUUUCAUGAAAUCAUUUCUGUACAGAUUCGAGUUUGUUAUUUAUAUAUAUAUAUAUAUUUACAUAUAUAUCUGUGUAAAGAAAGAUUAACAAAAUUCAGUGCGAUGCUUGCACUUAUUACAUGUCUACAGUAAGAAUAUAUUGUCCAAAACAUCUAGGAUUAUAUUUUCUGACAGCCACAUCUUAUUCUUCGCUUCUGUUUAUCCUGUGGUUCUUCUAAAACUCCAGCUAUCCUCCUUUGUCACUUUCAUCAGAUAAGCUAUUUGAGUGCCUUCCUAUGAUUUCAAAACUGUAUGAUCUUGCACAUCAUACUAUGAAAUGUACUCCCCACUCCCCCUUUUUUUUUAACUCCAGGGCUUAACUCCAAGGCAUUCUUGCAUAAUCCUUCCUAUUGCUUCUGUAAGUUUAUUACAUGCCUAAUUCUUGUGCUGCCAUCACUACUGCAAAUAUAAACAAGAUAGGUGUACAGACCCCACUCCAAGUGGAGCCUCAUCUACGAACCAGAGUCUCUUCAGGGGUACACCUGCUGCAGCACAGACACAGCCACGGCUACAGACACUUUGGGGCGUCCUGCUCCCACGUGGACUCAUCCACAGGUCACAGUCCCUUCAGCUCGAGCUCACACUGGAGCUCCAGCCUGUCCAGUCCGGCAGCACAGGAACAGCAGCGAUGCCCUGGCCACCUGCCAGCCCAGGCACAUCGCCAUCGCUGUUAUCAGAGUGUUCCCGGGCACAGCGCAGUAAGAUAAGCAGCACAGCAAGCAGCGAGAGCAAAAAGCAGCCACUAACGAGCACUGGACUCUAAUGCACGGCAAGGCAAGCAAGCCCCAUGGCCAGCACAGAAACCUGCCCUUUAAUAGCUAAACAGCAAUAACAGCUAGAAAUUCCAACUAGCACAUUCCAAUCAAAUCUGUCAUUAUCUUGAACUCUCCGAGCCCCAUGUUGGGCACCAAAAAAGACUGUCAUGGUUUAACCCCCGCUGGUGACCAAGCACCAUGUAGCUGCUGGCUCACUCGCCCCACAGUGGGAUGGCGGAGGGAACUGCAAGGGUAAAAGUGAGAAAACUCAUGGGUUGAGAUAAAGACAGUUUAAAAGGAAAAGCAAAAGCAAGCAAGCAAAGCAAAACAAGGAAUUUGCUCACCCCUCUCUUCCCACGGGCAGGCAGGUGCUCAGCCAUCCCCAGGGAAGCAGGGCUCCAUCACGUGUAACGGUUACUCAGAAAGACAAAUGCCAUUACUCCCAAUGUCCCCCCUUCCUUCUUCUUUCCCCAGUUUAUAUACUCAGCAUGACACCGUAUGGUAUGGAAUAUCCCUUUGGCUAGUUUGGGUCAGCUGUCCUGGCUGUGUCCCCUCCCAAUUCCCCGUGCCCCUCCAGCCCUCUGGCUGGCAGGGCCAGAGAAACUGGAAAGUCCUUGUCUUAGUAUAAACAUCACCCAGCAACAACUGAAACAUCAGUGUGCUAUCAGCAUUGUUCUCACACCAAAUCCAAACCACAGCACUGCCCCAGCUACUAAGAAGAAAAUUAACUCUAUCCCAGCUGAAACCUGGACAACUGUAAUAAUGGUAUGGACUCUUGUGCCUAUGUACACCUUUGAUGCAGUAAGGUCCAUUUCUCCCGCUCAAAAUAAAAUGCUUUUCAGAAUUCAGCAAUGAAACAAUGUUGAUUCAGAAACAUAUGGAAGACACCCACACACAUUCGGUGGGCAUCACAUGCUAGCUGCUGAAACACAGCCGCCGCUGGGAAACUGGCCAUAGCACAGUUCUGCUAUGGCCAUAUGGAAACCCCAGGAUGGUCCAGGAGGUGGAACAAGAAGCAUUAUUUAAAGACUCAUUGUGAUUUGAAUUUUACAAAAGAAUAGUUCAAAUGCUACUUCUUUAUUUGAGAAAGAAACUGUUCUAUGUAUUCCUCAUAAAAGCCCCAAAUGAGAAAGGCAGAAGCCUACACUUAAUUUGUUUUUUAAGUUCAGACUCUGUUCUAUUUUAGUCCAUACAACUAUGCUCUUGGCAAAGGAUUCCUCCUAAACCCUCGGUCAGAAAUCUAGCCAAAGGCUUUACAAUCCCAUAAAGAGCCAAUAUUAUCCUUGUCAAUGCAUUGGUACUGGGACAGAGGAGAGGCAGCUUUGAACUCCUGUUUAAGAUCACUGUAGCUGCAAGUUACUUCUGUCAACGAAACACAUUAGCCUUCAAAACAGCACUCUCAUGGAACAGUCCUGACAGCUUUUUCCUUGAAUGCAAAAAAGCCAGGAUGCAGGUUUGCUUCAAACCUGCCACAGUGUAAGCUUUGCUGGAAAUACACCUUAGAUCUCAGGCUGCCAAAGAGGCAACACAAGGACAUUUUUCUGUGCAGGACCAGAAAGGGCAGGACUGCCGUUCCCCAUAACCUGUCAACAGCAGCAUCUCACCAGCUUUCAGCAGGAGUGACAAAAACGGCACAAAAAUGUCAAGAUGGAAAAUGUCAUAGCUCAACACUACGCAGGAGAUAAAAAGUAACUCUAGUAUUCAUUGAACACAAACAUGAAAAAAAACCCACGAGGUAUGCAGCAAAUAAAUCUUUAACAGUGCUGAAAGCGGAGGGAAUGAAAGAUUUCACUACUUCAGUGCUUUACAGGAAACUCUGAAAAACCUUUGCUUCUUCUCAGACCCCAUGACAAUUAAACAUUCUGGCACGCUUCAUGACUUUGAGUUACAGGGAAAGUUAUUACAGGUUGAAACCCCCCUUUGAAUCUUCACAGUGAAUUUGCAGAGAGAGAGUUCUGCACGGACUCUUAAAGGAGAAUAAGGGGACAAGGCCAGUUAGAGCAGGACCAAGAGCUGUGCCAGGGGGUGGAAUAUGUUCCUCCCAUUACAAUUUGAAUUUGGCCCUGGGGACUUGUCUGAAAGCAAUACAAGCAGGUAUGCAGGAUGAAUCCUUCCUUCAAGGGUUCCUACAGUGGGGGUUAUUUAGGACGCAGCAGCAGGCCCAAAUAAGCUCAGUCAGAAACCCGCUUUUAAAUGUUACUCAUCAAAACAAGAAAAAAGAAACAACAUAUAUAAUGAUACAGAAGCAGAGCUGAUUCUGAGUUGAAAGGUUUCAGAGUUUCCCCAGGAGACCUCUGAAACACUUGGAAAGAAAAAAGCAGCCCGCACUACCACUACGCUGGAAGUGAGUGCCUUUCCUCUGGGAAUAGCGACAGUUUUUUUCCUCUACUGUCUAUUACACAGGGAUUUGGAAAGGAAAAAAUAAAGGUCGCAAUCAGGAAGCUUUCAGAAGGGAUGGUAGAAGGGUAGUAUCAAAAAGGAUCUGUGCUACCAGUCUCCAGCUGUAAGUGGAGGAUUUAAAAAUGCAUUGAUUCCCCUUUCACCCACCCACCCCCCAACAAAGGAAGAACAGAGCAUUAAUGGCAGAGCAGUUACUUAUGAAGACCUGAAUUAUUUUUACAGUGUCUUUAGUUUAUUUGCUUGAGUUCCUUGCAAAACACUGCCAUUACAACAUGUGGUUUAGUCUCCUGGGAAACUGCAGCGUAGCCACCACUGCACAAGUAAAUUCUGUUGAUCUCAAGCCUUAACUAGACUUUACCACCUACCUGCUUUUUAGCAGAGAAAUCACCCAGCUAGUAAAGCCUAGCUGACAAGACAGGCAGGUCUCAACAAUGACAAAACCCAUGCUGAGUGCAGCGUCAAAACGCUGAAUUGUCCAACAGUCCCAUCUCCAUUGAGGUAUAUGCAUUGCAAGGAACAGACUUCCCCAAAACACGUGUUUAAACACACACACACACACACACACCCCGCCCCCCAACUAGGCUAAUGCAUUAGAACAAGAAAAAAUAAAGACUGAAGAAGAGCUAAAAAAUACAGCUAUUUGUACGUGCCUGUUGAAGACCAUGGGCUAAGAAUUUGUUAACUGAGAGCAAAGUUAACUCCUUUGCUAGCAGAGCUGUGCCAAAUACUUUCUUAUCUCUAAUCACAGAUGGAAGGAAGAAAGUAGGAAUAAAAAUGAAAAAAAUUUUUGUUCAAACACUCGCAUGCCUUUGGUUCUCUUAUCUACUAAGCAUCAAAAAUGGGCAAUAGAUUUAAGAGUCUUACUUUUUUUUCCCUCUCUGCAACAGGAAAAUUCACAGAGACUUACUGAAGUAAGCUUAAAGGCAUAGAAAUGUUUGUUCUCUCAGGAAAACUGCAUCAUCAUGCUUUUCCUAAUUUUACUAGGAUGAGGAGGACAUGACCACAGUGUGCUGGAGUAUAUUUCCACUCUUAACAAGAAGUGAAGGACAGUCACGUGGGUGCCCAGCCAUGCGGAGACAGGCAGAGACUGUUCAGUGGAAUAAAGUCCCAAGCUCAGAGGACUGAAAUGCCCAAGGAAAUCAGGUACCUGGGUAAUGUCAGCUCUUGCCAAGCACCUAACGAGAUGCACGAAUACAGAAAGCGACAGCAAAGUAAGUUCUGGGGACCUGCUUUAAGGCUUUGUGACACCAGCCAGGUAGCACUAAAGACGUGCCAGUCUCUCCCUGUGAGUUGCCAUCCUGCAUGCACAAACUAUCUGCAGCCCUACUGGUAACAGCUAUUGACAGAGGAGCAGCUUUCAAGAAUUUUGGACAUGAACGAAAGAAUGAUUUAGAAGGAUAACUAGGCAAAAUGUUCAAGAUAAGGAAUUAACACACCAAAGCACCGAAGAACUCAAAUCUCAUUCAGGUCAAGAAGAGAUUUCUCAAUGUCUGAUACUUUGCAGAACAGGAUUUUGGUUGCCAAAGGAUCCUCCUUACCUAAUAAUUAAUCUCCGUGCUACAGACUUCUUGUACCUGGGAAUUGUGUUCCAGUUAGCUUGAGGAAGAUCACUACAUUAGAAAACAGGUUAUUUAUUUGUGAAUCGGGACAGAAAAAUGGUCUUUCCAUGACACAUUCUAGACAGCAUGCAAACCCAUGUCUCUUGUACCUUCAUCACCCACAUAUCAAUUAGCAGCUUCUUCCUCUACAAGGAAGCCUUCAACAGUCUGCCAGGGACUAAUUUGUCUGCCUUCUCACAUGUAUUAAUUAAACCCUCAUCCAAAUGAGGACUGGAAGAUGAGCCCUUUCCCCUUGUAAUGCUUUAAAAUGCAAUUAACAGUAAAUGGUACAUCUAAAAUAUGCCUAGACAGGCACAGAUGGGUUCCAGAAGCAGAAACACUUGCUGCAAGCAACUUUCAUUCUGGACACAAGGUGAUGUGCCAGGGCAAGCCAAGAAACAAUCAGGCUUAAUUAACUUACAUUUAGUGAACAUAAAACCUAGACACCAUACUCCGUAACAGCUCUGUUUCAAACACUGUCCAGUCAAAUGCAGGGGCUGGGCAAGAUGCUUUCCCCAGCACUCUGGUAGCCUGCUGUACCCUGGGAAGGAGCCAGUUCACCUAACCCUGCACCAAGAGCAGCUCCUGUCAGCAGAAAAGCCUUUAUCCAGUCACCCCGCUCCUGCCACCCUGGGGGAGGCGUGGAGUUGUUUUCAAUAAAUUCUUUGGGAAAAAGCAUAUCUUACCCCAUCUGCUUCACUUCCGUAUUAAUUGGAAAAAUACAUAUAGGCUGGGGUUGAUAGAAAGACUUCUGACAACUGCAUACAAGACACGCAAUCAUCAUCUGGAUAGUGCAAGAUUAAAAUUUGAAAAGACCACAAGAUUGCACACAAGUUAAAAACACUAUUGUAAGUCCAGUUCCCCUUUCCCAUUCUCAUUGCCUUUCAGUUCCUCCUUGUACAACAAGGCUGAUGAAGGCUCAGUUUCUUCAGAGUGAGUGCAGAAGGAAUAUUGAUGAUUUUAUAUGCAUUUGGAGACAAUCUCAGGAGAAACUGAGGUGCUGGCAGGAGUUAACUGGAGUUAGCUGUCUAUCUGCCCGUAUAAGCUUGAAACAACCUUAAGCUACGUGCUGCUUGACCUAUCUAUUGUCAAAAUCCUGGUGCCAAUCUACCAAGAGUUCUUUACCCUACAUGUCUGCAACACUCUCUUGGAUCUCUGCAAAUCACAAGUUGGUAACCAUCAUCUAAAAACAACAGAGGAGCACUGUAAAAGAGAAAUGACUACCCAACUUAUGCAUAUUUUUUAAAAACCUCUCUCUAAUUUCCUGUCCUCUGGUUUUAAGCAGGCACACAGUAAAACAAAUAAAAUAUCCAAUUGAAAAUAGAUUUUCUGUCUAGGUAGGUUUUUAAGAAGGCUGAAUGAUGAAAAAGCCUAAAACCCUGGUACAGAGAAAGCCUGUUCUAAGUGAACAGCCCUAGAGAAGGCAACGCUACAGAAUGAAAGGAGGAAAGUAAAAAGGGGAUGAGACUGUCAGUUCUGACAGCGGGGAGAGGCUAAGAAAUAAACUACCAAAACCUACAGGAAAGCCCAGGAUGGAAAGAAUCAGAGUCAAAGCCAGGUUGUUCUUGAAUUUGCAUGCAUUCUAUAUAAAAGGCAUGACCAAGAUACUUCAUUGGAAAUAAAAUCUGAAGGCUUGAAUUUAUUUAAGCAGCGAGCCUUAUUUUGUGCAUAACCACCAAUAUGAGUUUGAAGGACCAACAUUCAACUUUGCUGCUUUUAGAAAACAUUUAUGGCUUAACUCACUGUGCAUCCUGAGCAACACGGAUACAUCUGUCUGUUGGAUCUAGAAGAACGAACACCCUUCUGACCUGCAGAAAAAAAAGAAUGAACAGUUUGAAGUGGAUUUGUCUUGAAGCGUAUGUUCUAUGAAUAUUUAAAAAACAAACAAAAACUCCCAAACCUUUCUGUAGCACAGCAAUUGUCACUUUGAAGGAUGUUUCACACCCCUGACCACAUCUGGGGUUCCUUCAGAGGCUGCUCUGGAUACAAAAUCAAUAAGCUGUGAAAUAAAAGCUACUUUACACCA